rnacentral:rRNA from 1 species
CACGUGGGUGACCUACCUUCGAGUGGGGGAUAACGUCCCGAAAGGGACGCUAAUACCGCAUAACAUCCUGCCUUUGAACAGGUGGAGAUCAAAGCUGGGGAUCGCAAGACCUGGCGUUUGAAGAGGGGCCCGCGUCUGAUUAGCUAGUUGGUGAGGUAACGGCCCACCAAGGCGACGAUCAGUAUCCGGCCUGAGAGGGCGGACGGACACACUGGGACUGAGACACGGCCCAGACUCCUACGGGAGGCAGCAGUGGGGAAUUGUUCGCAAUGGGCGCAAGCCUGACGACGCAACGCCGCG